UACGUAGGGUGCGAGCGUUGUCCGGAAUUAUUGGGCGUAAAGGGCUCGUAGGCGGUCUGUUGCGUCAGGAGUGAAAACUCGGGGCUUAACCCCGAGCCUGCUUCUGAUACGGGCAGACUAGAGGUAUGCAGGGGAGAACGGAAUUCCUGGUGUCGCGGUGAAAUGCGCAGAUAUCAGGAGGAACACCAAUAGCGAAGGCAGCUCGCUGGGACGGUACUGACGCUGAGGCGCGAAAGCGUGGGGAGCGAACAGG
rnacentral:rRNA from 1 species